rnacentral:tRNA from 1 species
CAAAGUGUAGCUUAAGUCAAAGCAUCUGGCUUACACCCAGAAGAUCUCAUCACAAUUGACCACUUUGA